rnacentral:rRNA from 1 species
AACGAACGCUGGCGGCAGGCUUAACACAUGCAAGUCGAGCGAGGUCUUCGGACCUAGCGGCGGACGGGUGAGUAACGCGUGGGAACGUGCCCUUUGCUACGGAAUAGUCCCGGGAAACUGGGUUUAAUACCGUAUGUGCCCUACGGGGGAAAGAUUUAUCGGCAAAGGAUCGGCCCGCGUUGGAUUAGGUAGUUGGUGGGGUAAUGGCCUACCAAGCCGACGAUCCAUAGCUGGUUUGAGAGGAUGAUCAGCCACACUGGGACUGAGACACGGCCCAGACUCCUACGGGAGGCAGCAGUGGGGAAUCUUAGACAAUGGGGGCAACCCUGAUCUAGCCAUGCCGCGUGAGUGAUGAAGGCCCUAGGGUUGUAAAGCUCUUUCAGCUGGGAAGAUAAUGACGGUACCAGCAGAAGAAGCCCCGGCUAACUCCGUGCCAGCAGCCGCGGUAAU